CCUACGGGAGGCAGCAGUGGGGAAUCUUGCACAAUGGGGGAAACCCUGAUGCAGCGACGCCGCGUGAGCGAUGAAGCCCUUCGGGGUGUAAAGCUCUUUCGGCGGGAACGAUGAUGACGGUACCCGCAGAAGAAGCUGCGGCUAACUACGUGCCAGCAGCCGCGGUAAUACGUAGGCAGCAAGCGUUGUUCGGAGUUACUGGGCGUAAAGAGUGUGUAGGCGGUUUGCCAAGGUCGGGGUGAAAUCUCCCGGCUCAACUGGGAGGGUGCGCCGAAAACUGGCAGGCUGGAGGGCGGGAGGGGAGAGCGGAAUUCCUGGUGUAGCGGUGAAAUGCGUAGAUAUCAGGAGGAACACCGGUGGUGUAGACGGCUCUCUGGACCGCAACUGACGCUGAGACACGAAAGCGUGGGGAGCAAACAGGAUUAGAUACCCCUGUAGU
rnacentral:rRNA from 1 species